ACCCUUAUAUAAAAAGAUUUUGCACCUAAAGCCCCGUUUCUGAGCUGAGCAGAGACCAUCACAUCGUAUAGUCCAGAGCUUAUCUCAUUAGCUCGAGUACCGUGUUCGGCUCAGGUGUCCUCACGAAUCUUCAGACACCUGCCAUCGUGCUUUGACUCAAACCUACUUUUGGUCCUCGUCCAGCCAUGUUUGCCACUGCUGUUAGUCUUCUGUGUCUUCUUGCCAUCCUGCCUCCCUCGAGUGCCCCCAAUGUACCAGAUUCUUCUUCAGCACUGGGACAAUCGUAUGAGAAGUCGAUGAAGAAUCUAGGACUAGCCACCAAAUCAGAUGAUAAGUCGGUUUUACGAGCUUCUUAUGAUGGAGGGACUUAUGUCUUGGGAGCUGAGGGGCCUGGGACUAAUACUGGGAGAGACGAUCGUCCUCAAAACUGGCAAUACCCCAGCAAUAGGGCUGAAACUGGGGCAGAAGGGUUUUCUGGGCCAUACGAGACCAAACCUUCUCGUGGAUCAGCCAAUUACGGCCAUAAACUUAGUAAGCGUAAGGGCAGAUUACCCAAUGGUGAAGCCUACAUGAGACCCGAGUUUGGGAAUAUGAAAACCCCGACAUCACCAUACUCAACUGAUAUUAGGCAUGCACCUCAGUGGGGUUAUCCAGUUGGCAGUUAUGGACAUAAGGAUGGCCGCAAGUCUUCACGAGGCCCAGCGUUAGGUGAUCAAUCAGGCUAUCGGAAUGGUUGGCCUAAAAUCACAUCAGGGCCACACCAACCAUUACAUGCAGAGGCUCAGGCUGGGACCUAUGGGCUAAAAGCAGGACUCAAACCUGGACCUCGGCCAGCAUACCAGGCUGUAGCCUACUCUCAGCAGGCUGCACUUGGGGCAAGCUUGGGAAUGAAUGGGCAGUUGGCAUACCCAAGAGGUUGGCCGAGCAUCAAGUCACAGCCAAGGCCGGUUUAUCAAGCUGAGGCACAAGCAGGGGAUUAUGGACGCAAAGCAGGCAUUAGACACAGCGCUCCAAGGGGUUUCUCAGCUUUUGCUGGUGCAGGCACACCUCGAGCUCAAAAAUCUGGGUCACAUCUGGCUUAUCCCGCUGCACCUUUGCCUCAAAAGGCUAGGCCAGGAUUAGCCUAUCCGAACUGGCCAGCUGGGGGUGUCAGAUCUAAUGUAAGCCCAGGUCGACAAACCAUGGGUCACCAUGGCAAUGGUGCUUGGGGCUGGCGAGGGCCCAGCACAAUGCAUGCACCAAAGCCAAAGCGCUAUUGGUCAGUUAGAUUGCCAAAAGUGGAGGGUGGAACAAGCUACGGUGGUACUGCAGAUCGAGGAACUGGUGCAGAUGACCUUCGAGUUCAUCCCAGCUCUGCUCCACUUAUUUCUGAGCCCCAACAUGGACGUGCUCACCCUUUUCCCCCAUUAGCUGGCCUCCAGCCAAUGGAAGUCCACGGAGCAGCACAGCUUCCCAGCCAGACCCAAAGGAGACCCACAAAACAUGAAUGGGGCCAAGUGGUUGGGAUCGCAGGCGAGAGUGAACCAGAAGAACAGACAUCUGAAUUAUCGCUCCGCUGUCCUCCAGGAACACAUGCUACACAGCUGCUAGGCAUGGUGCUUUGUCAAAGGCCCUACGUAUGAGAAUGUCCUGGAUACCUGGGAGGGUCUUCACAAGUGCCACCCGGGCAUCUCAGAUUGGAAUUCUUUGCCACACAGUGGAGUUUUUGAAGCAAAAUUCAAUAAUUUCUGUACAUUUUAAAAGAAUCGGUGUUUUGUAGUUUUUCUCAAUUUCAGAUAUUUUAUAUAACUGUUAUUGUUGCAAUUUUUUUGUCAUUGUUUUACCUCUUCCUCUUGACUUUGUAACUUCUACAUCUCUGAGUAAAAUACUUCAAAAGGAUUUCAGUGAUAUCGGCCAUGGUUAAAAUAUAACAUCACGAGGUCCAUUGGGAAAUUGAACUUCGACUGGAAGGAUUAACAAGAAAUGGGAAAUAAAAUGAUUUUGCAAGAUUUACUCUUGGUGUGCAGACACACACCUCUCAAUCAGCAGAUGCUUAUGCUAGUGACAUGUAUAAGUCUCUGUAAUGUGCUCACGAUGUACCUGGUACAUGUCUCUAAUGUGCUUUCUACCUGAUACAUGUCUUUGUAAUCUGCUCACCGUGUACCUGGUAUGAGUUUCUGUAAUAUCGUCCUUUCCACAGUACUGAAACAAACACGUUACUCGAGAUAUAACUGUGAUGUUUAAUUAGAAUUCCUGGAGAUGGUUAGCUUAGCUUACCCAGCAAAGAGUCACUCUAUCCUUCAGGGCUAGUCAAUAACAGCUCCUGAUGCACACACCAUGUUCAGCUCUACAUUGUGAAUCUUAAUAUAAUUAAAUUAUCUCGGCGAUGAAGACGAUAUACUCUUGUGGAGUUCAGUCUUGUGGAGUAGCCAAACCCGACUUUAUAAUAACUCUGUCUUUGAGGAUAAUCGGCAUGCUGAACCAAAAAUGUAACUGAAAACAAACAGUCUUAUGCUAUACGAACAAUGUAACUCUCCCGUCAGUGUUACAUGAGACAGAACAAUUAUAUAAACCAAGGCAAUUGGCCAAUUAAUAGCAGACAAUCUUACUGUAAUGGAGCAAUCGUGGACGUCACCGAAACUCCAAAAUGGACAUGUGGCUGAAAUAGCGCCAGCCUUGGUGUUAGUCGGUAUUACAAAUGAUCUUCCUUUAUCUUAUGAAGAGCAGAGGUAUGGACACCUUCUGCUGAAGGACUUUAGAGUUUAGAAAAAGAGAGGCAGGUACGAUGCACAAUUCCAAUUAAUUCAUCACAUAAUUUCGCAGGCAACAUUAAUAUGGAAUAGGCAAAGCCGAGAAGCAAACGUAGAAUUCUUCUUUCAUUCGCUUCUGACUUUACAUUAAACUAGUUCACAACUGUAUACUUGCCAACUAUACCAUGGUAAGUGUAGCGCCGCACAGCUGAUGAUUUUGACGCAAUUUCCGGUUACUUCGGCCUGGAUUCGGGAUCAGCGAUCAAAUAAUGUAAAUCACGAUUAAAAAAUAUUUUUUGAUGAUGCGGGAGAUAUCUUUAUUAAAAUUAACUUUGGGAAAAAAAUAAUUGAAUAAA
rnacentral:lncRNA from 1 species